rnacentral:lncRNA from 1 species
CACGCAUGCAUAUUAUUACAAUGUAUUGAGAUGCUUGACUCUGAAACAAUCUACGCUUCUGCAAUAGCUGACCUUGACUCUCAACAUUCAACAUAAAAGCUUUUUAAAUCUUUUUAAGAAUUACACUAAUGGCCCCAAACUUUAAAUUUAUAAACAUUUCAUGUCAAUAGAAAAUAAUUGAAUAAUGAGAUCCAAAACGGAAGAAAUUGGAGACGGAGCUAAAGGUGGAGAAGGACGGCUUCUCCUUGGAAUUUGUGGACUUUGGACUGGAAGAGGUCGAGAUUCUUGUUCAAUUUCGAACCUUUCAUCUCCAGCUGCCCUAGCCUCCCUGCGACCACCGUCACCUUCUCUCUGCAUUCUUUGAUUUCCUUCUCCCUCUUCACCAGCUCCGCCGUCAUCUCCUCCAUCUCCCCCUUUUUCGCCGUCAGAUCUCUCUCGCACACCUCUUUCUCCACCUUCGCCGUGUCGUACUGCCCGAAAUACUCCACCGCCUCCGCCAGUUCCGUUACCGCUGUCUUUAGCCACGACACGUUGAUUUUCACCGACUCCAUGUCUUUCACCACCGCCGCGAUCUCCGCCACGCGCGUUUUCGUCAAAUCCCUCAGAACCGUCUUUUUCAGCUCCAUCACCACAGCGGCUAGGGAUUCCAGGUAAUAAGACCGAGUUGCCAUUGCUUGCAGCUUCGAGGAGGCUGCGAUGUCGCCGUGCUUGUCGAUGAUCGCCUGCAGGGUUUCCGACACGCUCUGCCUCACUCUGUAAUUCGCGACGGAUACGUAAGCCUCGGAUAUCAUUGAUUGACUCUCUUCCUUGCCGCUUUCGUAGUUCUUGAGUCCUCGCAUUUUGGUAAUCUCCUGCAUUGUGAAGCUUUGUGACUCGUCAGGCAGCUCCGGCGGCUCGAACUGCUUGUCUUGCUCAUAGGUCUCGGCCGCAACUAUCUGGUAGUUGUGGUGAACAGGCUGCAGGUUUAAAGCAUUGUCAUUUCUUUGUUUUUUAGGCAUUUCAGAAUCAUUAGUGACUGUGAGAGAGAGAGAGAGAGAGUUGGGAAAGGAUUCACACCGUGCUGUUCUCGGAUACGAUCCUGGAACGAAGUGGGCUGCGGAUUUCUGGAUAGAGGUAGGUGGAGUGAUUAUCGUCGUCGCUGGAUGAAUAGUAUGGUCCAUGAACGGGACUCGGAGGAGCGCUCUUCUGGUGUAUUAAGUCGCCAUCUAGCUCAUACAUUGCCUCGAAAUCCUCGUUAUCCUGGUGGCUUCUACGAUGGUCAGGCUGCACAAUUAGAGAGAAAAUUCAAUAUAUGUGACUCACUGUCAAGAGGACGUUUUUUAUCACUAGGAAGAAGCUGAAACAAAAACAAUGAGCCAGACUUAAGAUUUUUUGAGUACCGUUCUGUAUGGUUGUGGUGGUGGUGGUGAAUGGCUUGCUGCUGGAUGCAAUGGGCUAGGUGGAGAGCUGUUUCGUGGUGUUACAUCGUCAUCUUGCUCAUAAAAGUCCUCAAUUUGCUCUUUACCAUGGUUACUACGUUGAUCAGACUGCAGCAUAACAAGAACAUAUUCUAUUGUCAGUCUAAGUGACUCACUAGAAAGAGAAUUUGAUUUACUUAUCCCCAAAAAGAAGCCAGUAUCGAGUUUUUGAGUACCGACCGUUUUGUAUGCUGCUGGAUGAAACGGGCUCGGUGGAGAGCUGUUUCGCGGUGUGACAUCACCAUCUUGCUCGUACAGGUCCUCAAAUUGCUCUUUAUCAUAGUUACUACGACGAUCAGGCUGCAAUUAGAGAGAGAGAGUUUAUGUCAUCUAUGUGGCUCAUCGUGUACUCAAGAAUCACGAGCAAGACUUACCGUUCUGUAUGGUGGUGGAGAGCGGCUUCCAGCUGGAUGGAAUGGGCUCCCUGGAGCGCUAUUCUGCAGCAUGGUGUUGGCCUCAGGCUCAUACAUGUCGUAGUGGUCUCUGCGGCGAUCAGGCUGAAAUCAAGCAUUUAAAAAGCAAUGCAUUCUAUUUAGUGAUUGAUGGGUUUGAAUACGAAGCAGGUCAUCAGAAGUUUAGGUUAUUAGUACCGUGUGGAAUGGAGAUGGAGAAGGGCUUCUGAAUGGGUGAAAUGGGCUCGCAUUGCUUCGGGUAUCUGCUUCAUACAUUCGAUCCUGGUGUUCUCGACGAUACUCGGUUGAUUUCCUAGGACGUUCAGGCUGCAGGUUUAGAGAGAAUGGUAUCAGGAAACAAACGGUGGAGACAGUAGAAGACUCGAAUCAGAAGAAGCAGAAAGUACCGUGCGGUUUCCAGCUGGAUGAUAUGGGCUGGAAGGAGCGUUGGUCUCUGGCUCAUAACUCAUGGCCUCCAUUCUUUCUCUACCGUGGUCUCGACGAUGGUCGGGCUGCAAUUGAGGAGAAGGCAAACACAGUAUUAGAUACGUAUACUACGUUUGUUUCAAAUAAACUCAAUUGGUUUUGGGGAAUGAAACAGGGGAUAGAUGAGUACCGUGCCGUAUCCAUACACGGGAGGCCUAGGGUGGGAGUUGGGGACGCGUUCAGAGGCAGGCUGUUUCCAGUAUGGUCUUUGUUCAUUGGACAUGGGGAAAUCGUACUCUGUUUCGGCUCUUUUGUUUGAAAGAUACGAUGGGGGCGGGGAUCUAGCGCCGGGGGGAUGAGCAGGGCUGCCCGGAGUGCUCUUGCUGACAGUUUUCUUGCCAAAGAGUCCUGAAGAGAAAGUUUGGAUAUGCUAAGAGGAUGAUGAUAGUAAAUACUAAAUAGGAUCAGUUUGAGAAAGUCUAGUCUUUCACCAUCCCCAGCGAGAGUUAAACAUUCCGGCUAUUAUCUUAGAUUCCCAAAAAAGGGAGUUACCUGAUGAUUUUUUGCUAUCUUUCUUAGCUUUGCUUGAAGUGAAGAAGUCCAUAUUGGGUUGAGGCAAAGGAUGGGAUUGAGAAAUGAUCUGUGGUUAGACCGGAACAUAAGAAGGCAUGCAAAUUAGUACCUUGGUUGUAUAGUAAUUAUACAUAUGUUAGGAAUUCAUAAGAGUGAGUACCUUGCUGCUGGAGGAUCUAAAGUUGCCGGAGAAGACUUUUUGGUUCGUUUCGUUUCUGUUCUUCAACGCGUCAUACUACGACUGGUAUAUAUGAUUCGAUAGAUAUAAUGGAGUCAGAGGCCCCUUUAAGUCUGUGUAUUAUGGAUAUUUUUAUAAACAAGAAAAUGGCA